GGCCCGCACAAGCGGUGGAGUAUGUGGUUUAAUUCGAUGCAACGCGAAGAACCUUACCAGGGUUUGACAUCCUGCGAAUCUCUUGGAAACGAGAGAGUGCCUUCGGGAACGCAGUGACAGGUGGUGCAUGGCUGUCGUCAGCUCGUGUCGUGAGAUGUUGGGUUAAGUCCCGCAACGAGCGCAACCCACGUCUUUAGUUGCCAGCAUUUAGUUGGGCACUCUAGAGAGACUGCCGGUGAUAAACCGGAGAAGGUGUGGAUGACGUCAAGUCAUCAUGCCCCUUACAUCUGGGCUACACACGUACUACAAUGGUAGGUACAGAACGAUGCAAGACCGCGAGGUGGAGCAAAUCGCUAAAACCUGCCCCAGUUCGGA
rnacentral:rRNA from 1 species